AAAGCUUCGUGAGGAUCAGAAAGUGAUGCAGGUAGAAACCAAGCAAAACCACGUCCUCUUCUAUCUGGAGAGUGUCUCACGGAAGACUAUCAGUUUCUCCUUCUCUGUUGAACAAGACCUUCCUGUGUCCAACAUCAAACCAGCUUCAGUGCUGAUCUACGAUUACUAUGAAACAGACGAACAUGCUGUUGCAGAAUACAAGUCACUCUGCAAUGAAGCUGCCCCUGAAAGCAUUGAAUAGCCUGGAAAGGACUGUGGUGAAC